rnacentral:lncRNA from 10 species
AGCCACUGCGCCCAGCCCAGAGUGUUAUUUAAAUUUCGCACAUUAAAUAUCUCUUGAGCAUUACUAGACUCACAACAAUAUGAAAGCAUUAGUCCUUGCUUCCACAAGAAAGGAGAUUUCCUAACUGUCGCUCAGGUAAUUUAAUCUCUACAUUCUACCUUGUUUACAGCCAUAUAGCUGUAAGAUUGCAGCCUGGGCCAGAGAUCUGUACAGCAGAAUUGGAAGGAGCUAUCAUGGUGUGACUUGCUGAAAGAGUUUCUGUCCAAAAUCAAAUUCUUCCACUGACUUGCUUCACUGACUCUUAUUCCCACCAUUUGAAAAUGUUUGCUUUGGGUUAAGGUAUUAUUGUCACAAGAAAUUUUCUUAAGACAUAGAUCUCCCAGGGAGAGCUAAGAUUCUGGGAUUCAUUUGUUAAUGUGAACUCAGCAGGACACAAACGAACAAGGCACAGAACAGCUCAGUUUCUGUGUGUGGAGGGUCCCGUGGAUCUGUUUUCUUGCUCACAUCUCAGUCAGAAGUCUCAUGUCACUACAUACUAACAUAUUUUCCUCAUUUAAUAUCCGAUAUUGCUACUGAUGAGUAUUUCCCUUUAAUGAAUUACAUUUGGGUUACAGUUAUCUUCACCAUUCCUACACAGAUAAGCAGGCCUUAAUUUACAAAUGAGCCAAACAUUCAUACAGUAAUUUUGGUCUCUCACUGCCAAUUAAUUACAGAAAACAAUGGAGCUUUUUUGUAAAUCUGGGGCUUAAAUGUGAAGGAAGAAAAGACUCCCAGGUCGAGAUGUGCCUACGAUGGCUGACUCCAAGGACAAUCUUGCUGGCAGUGAUAGCCUACCUAUUUAGAGGCCACUCUGUCCCUUUCCUCAUCCCCAAAUCUCUUCCAAAUGUUGCCUAAAUUCCACCAUAUAGAGUUUGUUUUGAUUAAUAAAAUUCAUAUGCACCUGACAGAGAACUCAAAAGGACAUAGAGGCCAAAUUUGGGGCAAUUUAAAUAUCAAAAGGAAUAAUGACUGCAAUUGAUUAUAAAACAGUGAAUAAAUAAAAACCCAUGAAUCUAUAGUGAUACUCAAAGAGAGAGAGAGAAAAAAGAUAAUUUGCCACCUUUGAAGGUGACUGUUAUACUAACUUCUUAUUCUGAAAAUUGGUAAUUAAAGUACCUACCCUGUCUUUUAAGGAGGAAUUGUAGUUCAUUCCCAGUUGGUGAAGAGACAUUUUGUGUGUGUGUGUGUG